rnacentral:rRNA from 1 species
CCUACGGGAGGCAGCAGUGGGGAAUUUUGGACAAUGGGCGCAAGCCUGAUCCAGCAAUGCCGCGUGAGUGAAGAAGGCCUUCGGGUUGUAAAGCUCUUUUGUCAGGGAAGAAACGGUCUACUCUAAUACAGUGGGCUAAUGACGGUACCUGAAGAAUAAGCACCGGCUAACUACGUGCCAGCAGCCGCGGUAAUACGUAGGGUGCAAGCGUUAAUCGGAAUUACUGGGCGUAAAGCGUGCGCAGGCGGUUAUAUAAGUCAGAUGUGAAAUCCCCGGGCUCAACCUGGGAACUGCAUUUGAGACUGUAUGGCUAGAGUGUGUCAGAGGGGGGUAGAAUUCCACGUGUAGCAGUGAAAUGCGUAGAUAUGUGGAGGAAUACCGAUGGCGAAGGCAGCCCCCUGGGAUAACACUGACGCUCAUGCACGAAAGCGUGGGGAGCAAACAGGAUUAGAUACCCUGGUAGUCCACGCCCUAAACGAUGUCUACUAGUUGUCGGGACUUAAUUGUCUUGGUAACGCAGCUAACGCGUGAAGUAGACCGCCUGGGGGNGGUACGGCGCGAGAGUAAACGUACGAAAGAAGUAGACGCGNGAGACGUAGACGACGGACGACGACGAGGGGAGGAGG